GAGGAGGCAUUCACGACAAAUAGGGGAGGGGGUGGGACAUCUGAGGAGGGGCCGGUCUUGGUGUAAGGAGAAAAAACGAGAGUUUUCCCUGGCUUUUGGACAGUGUGUGUGUGUGUGUGUGUGUGUGUGUGUGUGUGUGUAGGUUCAGGAAUGUUGGAGGAACUAUUAUCAGAGAGGAAGGAGAGAGCAGAGAUGGAAAUACCAAGUGUGGGCAGACACAGCGGGGACAAUACCCUGCAAAGUGGUGUGCUCAGCCCUGCGGUUUACCAAGCAGACAUGCAUUUUGAUAAGGAGACACACAGAGAGACAGAGAGACCCAGGCUGAGAGCCACAGAGAGCAGACAGAGUAAGAAAGAGAGAGAGAAGAAACCAGAAAUCUCUGGAACAGAAUCAAGAAUGACUUUGGGGGGAAAGUUUUGUUCAGGAUGGACAGCAAGUAGAAAUCCCAGCCCAUCCUACCAAUGCCUGGGAUCCUCGGGCCCUUUUGAACCAUAAAGGGUACUUUUCUGGUCACUCCUCCUACCUACCCCAGACCCCAGGACCUGAUUAAGCACUUACGAGGUACUCAGGACACUUAGGAAUUUGGGGUCCCCUACACUACUGGCGAUGCAUAGUGGAUAAAUAAAAAUUUGAGAAUGAGAACAUUAAUCAGCUUUCCUGCUGCUGUGUAGGGUGAGUGCAGAUGCCUACACAAGUCGUGGCUGGCAGGUCCUCUGGCCCAGGCCUUGGGCCCUAGACCUCCAUAGUCUCUCCCAGAAGGGUCUCUUUUCCAUCGUGCCCAUACCUGAGCUCUGCCUUCCCCCCGCCAGCCUCUUACAGAUACUUCCUCCUGCUCUCUUCCUUCCACCCACCCUCCAGCAGCCCAAACCACUCCUCUUUCUGAAAGACCUUCACCAGAACAGUGUGAAUUCUCAGAAAUGUGCCACAGGAGGAGGGGGUUCGCCAUAUCUGGCUUUUUAAAGAGACGAUGAGGGCUUAAGCAAGUUGAGAGAGAGAGAGACAGAGAGAGAGACGGAAACAGAGAGACUGGGCUAUGCAACAGCUCUCCAGUAUUUCAGUCUCUAAGUGUGGAUUAGAUGUGUUCAAGUAGCUCCCAGGGAUUGCAUUAGCACCACAUGGGGAAAUACUUUGGAAUAUUCUUAAUACAAUUUGAAAUGUCCCACAAGGAUCUGGGCUGCCACAGGUGGUAAUGAGGUCCCCAUCAGUGGCUGUAUCCAAGCAGAUGCUGGUGAUCACCUGUUAGGAGCACUGCAGAGGAGAUUUCUAUUCUAGACGGAAUAUUGGAGCUCUAACCCCUCCCAUCAUAAGCUAAGGGUCUUGCAGAGACAGGGCAGGGCUCCCCAAAGGUGAGCUGUACAGGGGUCACAGGCACUCCUUCCUCGGCAGGGAGAUAGUGGUGAUCCUUCCCAGUAUUCUGGGGGCUUCCUGUGUGGCUGAGCCCUUCAUCUCAUGUCUUCAUGGCUCCAUCGUCCCCAUCGUGCAACCAAACGGCCCGCCCUGCACAGCUGUUCUGGCCUGGCCAGAGAUGCUCACAGAGCAAUCAGCUCUACCCCCAAGAGCAUCACCUCCCCUCCUGCCCGCCCUUCCUGCCCUCUGCUGGGCUUUGGGAAGAAGCCCAGGCUAUCAGCAGCAGGAUUUCGCUCUCACGAGCUGCUGAAAACAUCAGUGAUGGGUUUGUUUGUAUUUGCCUAAUUAGGCAACGAGCUGAGACGCUCUCGCAAGGACUGGCAGCAUCUUUGGAAAACACAGGCCCAGAAGCAUAGAUUCUGAGCAAGUUCUAGCUCCUUCCACAGUAUCAUUACUCUCUCUUGCUGCCCUCAGGGGAAGCAAGAUGUUGGGGAAUCUGGGUUCUCCAGUCAAAGAAGUGCCUGGGCUCAAAUGCCAACUCUGUUACUUCCUAGCUCUGUUGUCUUGGGUAAGUUACUUUAACUUCUUUGUGCUUCGUCACCACUAUCUCAUGGUGAAGAUUAACUGGGAUAAUCCAUGUUAAGUGUGUGGCACACAGUAAGUCUAUCAAUGCUGGUUUAUUUAUUUAUUAAAAAAACUUUUUUAGAGAGAGAGAGAGCAUGAGUGGGGGAGAGGGGCAGAGGGAGACAGAGAGAGAGAGAGAAUCUCAAGCAGACUCCGCACCGAGCGUGGGAUGACCCUGGGAUCAUGACCUGAGUCGAAAUCAAGAGUCAGAUGCUCAACCGACUCAGCCACCUAGGUGUCCCCAUAAAUGCUGGUUUAAAGGAAAACGACGGUGAGACAGGGUAACCAGAAAGGUCCCCAUCUUUAAAAGUGAGAACAGACAGGGUGUUAGGGUUUUGGGGGGUUAGGAGCCAGGAUCCCACACACUGAGGUUCGGUGUAUGUUUGAAUCAGUUUCUUUCUAGACUUGUGACUUUGUUUACCUGUCAAAUAAAGGGGAGAAAUCCUGCUUUUUCUCCCUGUAGAUCACUGUAGAUUUGUGACAUAAUGUCUGAGAAUUAUUUGAGCUUCUUUGAUGAAGAAUGUUCUAUCAAUAUGAGGGCAUAUAUUUAUAAAUCAUUUCCUUUGAAUGUUUUUUCCAGCCUCUGUGACCAGAAAGACAGAUCUUCAGUUAGGGUGUGAAUGCUGGUGGAUGGAGCCAGGCCACAUAGUCAAAACAGAAGAGGGCAGACCUGGGGCAGGUUAAAGUCUUGCCACUGUGGGCCUCAGUUUCCCCACAGGAAAAGCUGUGCAGUAUUAAGUGCUCUGCGAAUCCUUGCUGGAUUGAAUUUUGAUCCAUUAGUCUCACUUUCUUGUCUGGGAAGCAAAUGGUAUUUAUUGAGCAUGUGAGUCUCUGUCAUUAUUGUCGUGAUGCUUUUUCGGGGGACAGGUGAUCAAACACAGAAACUACUUUCCCAGGAAUUUGAAUUUAUUGGCUCUGCAAGGACAGGGACAGCCUUAUUUGUAUCAAUGGAGUCAAAUCAGAGAGGCAGUCGACCCCAGUUCCUUAAAACCCCAUUGACGCAAUCCUGAUCCCAAAAGUCAUUCAUGGAAUGGAUUCCAGAAGGUCAAUUUUCCAUGAGGUGAUGAACAUCUGUGGUGACCUGGGGCUUCCUCUUGGCCACCUCUUGGCCAAAAGACCCCAGUCCUUGACCGAAGGCUGCAAACCACUGACUAGGAACCCAGAGUACCUCCUUAACUAGCAAAGAUGCUGGACCAAGUUCAGAGCCACGUGAAGCAUAAGUGAUUCUAGUUUGGGAAGGUGAUAUCAUUCCCCCAGACUUCUCUAGGGUAAGGAAGUUCAGAACCCCUGAAAUUGACUGGUUCCCAUAAUGCUUAAAUUUUACGGCAGCACAGUAUAUUUUGGAGAUAUUAUUGUGUAUUUUACCCAUGCUCAGCUGGGCUGCAGCACUCCAACCCAGCGAUGCUAUUGACCACGGCUAUAACGUUUCAAUAUACAUUUUUGGCAAGACAUAACUCACAUUUUAAAAUAUUAAUUUCCCAACCAUCAUGUUCCCGAGUGCACUUCGAUUUUUAUUUUCCUGCAGCUGUACGCCACGAGAGAAGCAAAGCUACUUCUCAGUCGAAUACGUAUGUUUUUCUACACCUUCACCCUCAGCGGUUCCCCAAUGGCAGGGACGCCCAGAUCUCUUGUUCUGAAUUUUACAGGUUAUGCUAAACCCAGCAGUCCCAUGUUUACUUUCCCCAGGGGAGAAUGAUAAUUGCUGGGGGCUGAGUGACCAGGAGGAUGAUGCUAUUCUUUUUUCUCCCCAGGGAGAGAUGAUGGACCGCAAAGACAUCUGUAUGAGCUUAAGGACUGACAUCCACAAUCGCUAACAGAUGACAGGGCCUGUGGCAUUGAGCAGGGAGGUCAGAUGCCAGCCACAGGAGCCUACUAGGACAUCUCUGCUCGACACCAGCCUGGGCAGGGGGCUCAACAGGGUUUGUACUUUAAAUGCUCCUUCUCUUUUCUUCCCAUCACAUGCUAACCCCUAAAACCAAGCAGUUUGGUUGUGAGUUUUCAGUUUAUUUGGCUCCCUCUGAUCGAUGGGAGCUAGGAAAAGCCAGGCUGUGAUGUAAGUGGAAAAUACAUUUUGGACCCAGAUACGGGGACACUUUACCUUUGGAAAUGUGACUUUACAGGAGUCGUGUCUGACUUUAGAAUAGACCCUCCGGAGCAAAAGUCUAUUAGGUUCAGGACCGACCACCGGAAUUGAGGGUUUACUUGUAAUUCCUUACCAGGAGUCAGAGGGCCCUUGAAGUCCCAUGGAUCCCGGGCCCAGGGCUUGCCUAAUCUGACUCUGCCCAGGGGAUAUUCCACGAGAGCUGGAGAUUUGAUCUCCAAGUACCAAUGAAGAUGGGGUUCUCCCCAGGGGGGUGGGUGGGUCAUGCGAGAAGGGGUUCCAGGCCUUCCCAGGGAGCUCUUGGGGGUACUCACUUGAGAGGUCCCUGCCCACACCCAGAGCCAAGCCGUCUUUGAUCCACAGAACGAAGCCAUCAUACUCGGGGAUGGCGCACAGCAGUGUCACUGGCUGGCCCGACACCACGGCCUGGUCCUGGGGCUGCUGGCUGAAGGAGUAUACUUGGCCUGGGAAGGAGACAAGCACAGGGGUCAGUUAGUGCAGGGAGCAGUGCCUGGACGGCUCCUCCUCAAGUUAAGAAGCAGAGCAGCUGGCCCAGGGGAUAAGCAGCUCUCUCUCCCUCGCCAGCAUCUGACUUCCUGCCUGCAGCCCAGCAGCACUUCCUGUCUGCUCCCUGCUUAAUUCCCUGCUCUCAGCAGCUGGCUCUCGGCUCAGCCUCCCUGCUCAUCCAUCCUUAACACACAUUCACACUGUGAGGCGGCCUCCCCCAGCCCCCAAAGAGGCCGUGCCCGCCGUGCUUGGGACAAUCUCUGCCACUUUCCUUUGGCUCCUACCUACCGCCACAUGCUUGCGCCACAACAGGGCAGAGGAGGAGAGAGCCUUCCAGCUGCGAGCAUCCUUGGGAGGUGCUUCAAGAAGGCAAGGUCGGGGGGGGGGGGAGUGGUGUGGUUUGCUUAAAAACCCGAGAACCUGGGAAAGAUAUUACUGUUUAAUUCGGGCCUACGGCCAAAUUCCACAGGACACGUGGUGGUAUAGUGUGGUCCAGAGUGUGCUGGCAGGAGCUGGAAGUCACCUCGACUCACCCUCUUUGUCCCUCUCUUUGCGAUGGCACACCCAAUUCUGGCCUCACUGUCACCUGGGGGAGCAUCGCCAGGGUGACCCCCAGCUCUCCCCUAGACACCUCAGAGCAAGAAGGCACCGAGCCAUCUCAGCAGUUGUUACAGUAACCAUCACACCCGGAUCUCACCAGCCCCAGUUCGCAGGGUCUUGGAGGUUAACUAAAUCAUCUGGGAAUUGUCUCCCGGCUGUAGACGAAGACUUUCUGGCUCUGAAGACUGUGUUUUCACCUGCUGAGCUGUGCUGUGCCCAGAUCCCUAAGCUGGUCCUGCGGGGAAUGCUGAAGAAGCAGGGUGAUGUGAUCCCUCUUCCCCGGGAGGCCACAGCUGAACAGACAACAGGACACCGACGUUUCCUGAGCCCCCGACCCACAGUGGCCUCCAUUCUGUUACCUGCAUAGUUACAUUGCAGGGCAGAAAUAUCCCAAUUUUACGGCAGAGUAAACAGGAUCAGAGAGGCAAAGUAAGCUGCCCAAGAUCACACAGCUAAUGAGCGGUGGAGCUGGGGUUCGAUGGGGGUCCAUGUGGCUUCCAAGACCGCAUUCUUUCCCACGCCCUGCCUGGCAGAUACAGAUACACGCUGAGGGAAGGUGGACCUGGUGGGCAGGUUGUUGCCACGGCCUCUUCUUCCCGACGUGGGAGAGUCAGGGACAGACAAGGAGGUCCUGGACGCUAGCUGUUGCCCAUCCUGGGGACACAAUACCCCAGGCUUGGACCACAGGUAAGGCCAUGCUCUUAGCAGCAGACGGCCCAUUAAGGGGGUGACUGACGUAUACAGAACCCGAGGGAAGCUGGGCAUGGUGGCCAAGUGGGGGCGGGGGCUCCCCGAGAGCAGCCGCGGAAUCCACAUCAGAGAACUCAUGGCAGGGGGGAAGGUAGCCGCGUUUACAACCUGAUGAGAUCUUGGCUGGGUCUCUGAGGAGUCUCAUUAAAAAUCAAAUUGGCCCUGAAUUGUGGGAGUAACACUUUUUAUUCUGAUUUGAGCUUUACAAAUUAGAUUUCAUAGGACAUUUUAA